rnacentral:rRNA from 1 species
CCCGUUGUACACACCGCCCGUCACACCAUGGGAGUCUGUUGCACCGGAAGUAGCUAGCCUAACCGCGAAGGGGGGCGGUUACCACGGUGUGGCCGAUGACUGGGGUG